GGUUAGCGGGGGCUGCCGGGCCGGGUUUAGCGGGAGGGCUUGCGCCCGGGGGCUCGGGUUUAGCUGGCAGGACUGUCCCCGGGGGCUCGGGUUUAGCGGAGGGAUUGUCCCCGGGGGCUCGGGUUUAGCUGGCAGGACUGUCCCCGGGGGCUCGGGCUUAGCGGAGGGCUUGCGCCCGGGGGCUCGGGUUUAGCUGGCAGGACUGUCCCCGGGGCCUGGCCCGGAGGACUGCCCGGGGGCUUGGCGCGGCCGGGGCAGGAC
ensembl:lncRNA